rnacentral:rRNA from 1 species
ACGGGGGGUGCAAGCGUUGUUCGGAAUCAUUGGGCGUAAAGGGCGUGUAGGCGGCUAGAUAAGUCAGAUGUGAAAGCCCUGGGCUUAACCCAGGAAGUGCAUUUGAAACUGUCUGGCUUGAGUAAGGGAGAGGAAAGUGGAAUUCCUGGUGUAGAGGUGAAAUUCGUAGAUAUCAGGAGGAACACCGGUGGCGAAGGCGACUUUCUGGCCCUAUACUGACGGUGAGACGCGAAACCGUAGGUAGCAAAAAG